rnacentral:rRNA from 1 species
GACGAACGCUGGCGGCGUGCUUAACACAUGCAAGUCGAACGGUGAAGCGCCUUCCUUUUUGGUGGGUGUGGAUGCGUGGCGAACGGGUGAGUAACACGUAAGUACCCUGCCCCCUUCUUCUGGAUAACCGCAUGAAAGUGUGGCUAAUACGGGAUAUUCUGGUUCUGUCGCAUGAUGGGUCUGGGAAAGAUAUUGUGUCGGUGGGGGAUGGGCUCGCGGCCGGUCAGCGUGUUGGUGGGGUGAUGGCCUACCACGGCCUUGACGGGUAGCCGGCCUCACUGGGUCUGAGGCACGGUCCAGACUCCUACGCGAGGCAGCAGUGUGGGGUAUGGCACAGUGGGCGAUAGCGUGAUGCAGCGACGCCGCGUGUGGGAUGGCGGCCUGCGGGUUGUGAACCUCUUUCGCCAGUGAAGCAGGCCUGCCUCGGUUGUGGGGGGGUUGACGGUAGCUGGAAAAGAAGCGCCGGCUAACUACGUG